rnacentral:rRNA from 1 species
GACGAACGCUGGCGGCGUGCUUAACACAUGCAAGUCGAACGGAAAGGCCUAGCUUGCUGGGUACUCGAGUGGCGAACGGGUGAGUAACACGUGGGUGAUCUGCCCCUGACUUUGGGAUAAGCCUGGGAAACUGGGUCUAAUACCGGAUCUUCAUUUUUCCUCGCAUGGGGAUUUGUGGAAAGCUUUGGCGGUUGGGGAUGGGCCCGCGGCCUAUCAGCUUGUUGGUGGGGUAAUGGCCUACCAAGGCGACGACGGGUAGCCGACCUGAGAGGGUGAUCGGCCACACUGGGACUGAGACACGGCCCAGACUCCUACGGGAGGCAGCAGUGGGGAAUAUUGCACAAUGGGCGCAAGCCUGAUGCAGCGACGCCGCGUGAGGGAUGACGGCCUUCGGGUUGUAAACCUCUUUCAGCUCCGACGAAGCGCAAGUGACGGUAGGAGCAGAAGAAGCACCGGCCAACUACGUG